rnacentral:rRNA from 1 species
GACGAACCGUCCUAACGUUGUUCGGAAUCACUGGGCGUAAAGGGCGCGUAGGCGGCGCCCCAAGUCUGUGGUGAAAGCUCGCCGCUUAACGGCGAGUCGGCCACGGAUACUGGGUGGCUCGAGCGCUGUAGGGGCAGAUGGAAUUCCGGGUGUAGCGGUGGAAUGCGUAGAGAUCCGGAAGAACACCGGUGGCGAAGGCGGUCUGCUGGGCAGUAGCUGACACUGAGGCGCGACAGCGUGGGGAGCAAACAGG